UUCUGAUGCCCUGAUGCGACGACAAGGGCGACCACGGCCUCUGGGUGCGGGACGAUCAGGAUGUUGUCGAUGGAACUCUUCAAGAAGUAUGGGGUCUAGAAUGUCAUCCCUGGCCAUCCAUGAACUUUCCUCUGGUCCUUACCCCUCCCAGUCCACCACUGUAAAAAGUCCUUCAAGGGUGUUGUCUGUAGGAAUUUAUUUUAAAAAGUAUAUUUAUUCCAAUAAAUUGAUUCCCUUUUCUUUUUAAAUUAAUUUAAGUUUUACAUAAGUAAAAAGUGUGAAUGUUUUUGUAACUUAUUAUUACCUAUCAAAAAAAUGAUUUUACUGACCUUCACAAUAAAUUGCUUCUACAAAACUCUAUUUAAGUGUUUAUAUCCAAAGUAAAACGUCACGACCCGCCCACAUGCUGCAGCAGAACAACGAGAUCGUUGUCCGUUGUCACCUGUACCGGACCAGUUUCGGAUUUCUGUGGAGUUUUUGAGGGUCUUAUACAACGUGCAACCGAUGGAAAAACAGAGAGCAGUGUCCACAAGGACUU